rnacentral:rRNA from 1 species
AUUGAACGCUGGCGGCCGGCCUAACACAUGCAAGUCGAACGAGUGGCGGAAGGGUGAGUAAUGUAUGGGAAACUGCCUGAUUGAAGGGGAUAACUACUGGAACCGGUAACUAAUACCGCCUACCAUAAGAGUUGCCCAGAUGGGAUUAGCUAGUUGGUGGGGUAACGUCUCACCAAGGCGACGAUCCCUAGCUGGUCUGAUAGGAUGACCAGCCACACUGGAGCUGAGACACGGUCCAGACUCCUACGGGAGGCAGCAGUGGGGAAUAUUGCACAAGGGGCUCAAGCCUGAUGCAGCCAUGCGGGGUGUAGGUAGAAGGCCUUCGGGUUGUAAAGUACUUUCAGCGGGGAGGCGUUACCCGCAGAAGAAGCACCGGCUAACUCCGGGCCAGCAGCCGCGGUAAUUC